AGGUUACGGUGACUAUAUAUGUAUAUCGAUCUGGGAUAUCGAUUGGAUGAGACCCCCGCAAUCUCCUCCGCGUUCGGACUCCUCCAAUUCGACGCCUCUUGAGAAGGCGCCUAGCCAGUCGAUUUGGAUGGUUUCCCAGUCGCGUUAUGUAGUUUGUCCUAGUCCUAGGUCUUUUUCCAAAUCGGAAGUUCGCAUAUACCAGGGGGCACCAGACAGAUAGCGGAGCGUUUUUGCUUGAAACACCCUGAUUUUUGUAAGGCGCGAUUUUGCAGCAAUACCGUAAACUUGAAUACCAUAUCGCCAGGCAGGAGCUAGGGCUCCUGUGAUACUUGAGAUGUUUACUAAAGGUUAAGUCUAAGUGUACCCCUAAGUAUUUGUAGCUGUUGUGGUGCGUCAGGAAGACUCCCGGACUCCCUGCGGAGCGUUCCCUAAAGCAGAUUCGUACUGGAACAAAAUCAAAAAACGUGGUAUGCAAGUCGAUUCCAGAGAUCAGUACGAGUUCAAAAAGCUGUAUCUCGGCCAAAUAAGCCCCGAUCUUGGAAAUAUUGGUCUCGUUCGACUCGUGGUCACAGCCAUUUUCAGCAAACAUUGUAAUUUUUGCAAAAAACAUAGUAGUUUUUCUCAAAUUGGGCCAUUUCUUAGAAU